CCGACCUUGAAAUACCACCCUUUAAUGUUUGAUGUUCUAACGUGGACCCGUGAUCCGGGUUGCGGACAGUGUCUGGUGGGUAGUUUGACUGGGGCGGUCUCCUCCUAAAGAGUAACGGAGGAGCACGAAGGUUGGCUAAUCCUGGUCGGACAUCAGGAGGUUAGUGCAAUGGCAUAAGCCAGCUUGACUGCGAGCGUGACGGCGCGAGCAGGUGCGAAAGCAGGUCAUAGUGAUCCGGUGGUUCUGAAUGGAAGGGCCAUCGCUCAACGGAUAAAAGGUACUCCGGGGAUAACAGGCUGAUACCGCCCAAGAGUUCAUAUCGACGGCGGUGUUUGGCACCUCGAUGUCGGCUCAUCACAUCCUGGGGCUGAAGUAGGUCCCAAGGGUAUGGCUGUUCGCCAUUUAAAGUGGUACGCGAGCUGGGUUUAGAACGUCGUGAGACAGUUCGGUCCCUAUCUGCCGUGGGCGCUGGAGAACUGAGGGGGGCUGCUCCUAGUACGAGAGGACCGGAGUGGACGCAUCACUGGUGUUCGGGUUGUCAUGCCAAUGGCACUGCCCGGUAGCUAAAUGCGGAAGAGAUAAGUGCUGAAAGCAUCUAAGCACGAAACUUGCCCCGA
rnacentral:rRNA from 5 species